AUGUUCAACUUAUUCUAUUAUUUCUCUCCCCAACCAAGGUAUCCCUCAGCCAAACAAUAUACAGAGAUUUUAAGCCUGUUCAUACACAGAUGUCCCUUCAUGCGGGAGAAAAUUGGUUCAGGACAUGAUGAUUUACGUGAGUCUCUAACAAGUUCAAAAAGGAAAGGCGACCCCUUAUUGGUGACUCAAUGGUGCAACAAAUGUGUCCAAAAUUUUCUGUGGCAGGAUCUGGAAAGAAGCGCCAUACUCCGGGUCAACCAAGCCAGCUUUUCUACAUAACCAGGCCCGCUGCUCAGGAAGAUGGAGACUUUGGAGAGGAUGAAAGGACCAUUCAAGCUCAUAUCCAAAAUAUGUCUACAG